CACGUGUAUUUUCAGUUCUAAAAUGUUGUAUUUUGGCUGAUUAUAAAGAUCGUGACUCAAUAUUUACGACCGUUACGACCAUAUGGAAACCAGGUUUCAAAGGCGUGGUGUCAAGGUCACCAAACUACUGUAUUAUAGUUAGCUAGUUGAUCAUUGCGAUGAAUACAAAAUCAAUUUACAUGGGUUACGUCUUUUUUAAUGAUGGUUACGUCUUUUUUAAUCCCGGUGAGCUUUCCGCAUUAAUUUCACAUGAAUUUUUAGUGAGAAAGCAGGAGCUAAUUUAGUUGAUGUACUGUCAGAAAGCAACGGCAGUAAACUAUUGUCAAGCGAAAUUUCAAGACAACAGAAAUGAAUAUAAUCUUUA